rnacentral:rRNA from 1 species
AGUGAACGCUGGCGGUAGGCCUAACACAUGCAAGUCGAACGGCAGCACAGUAAGAGCUUGCUCUUACGGGUGGCGAGUGGCGGACGGGUGAGGAAUACAUCGGAAUCUACUUUUUCGUGGGGGAUAACGUAGGGAAACUUACGCUAAUACCGCAUACGACCUACGGGUGAAAGCAGGGGAUCUUCGGACCUUGCGCGAUUGAAUGAGCCGAUGUCGGAUUAGCUAGUUGGCGGGGUAAAGGCCCACCAAGGCGACGAUCCGUAGCUGGUCUGAGAGGAUGAUCAGCCACACUGGAACUGAGACACGGUCCAGACUCCUACGGGAGGCAGCAGUGGGGAAUAUUGGACAAUGGGCGCAAGCCUGAUCCAGCCAUACCGCGUGGGUGAAGAAGGCCUUCGGGUUUUAAAGACCUUUUGUUGGGAAAGAAAAGCAGCAGGUUAAUACCCCGCUGUUCUGACGGUACCCAAAGAAUAAGCACCGGCUAACUUCGUG